UACGUAGGAGGCGAGCGUUGUCCGGAGUUACUGGGCGUAAAGGGUGCGCAGGCGGCGUCACGCGUGGAUAGUUGAAAUCUCCUGGCUUACCUGGGAGGGUGGUAUCCAGACGGUGGCGCUUGAGGGUCGGAGAGGGGCGUGGAAUUCCGGGUGGAGCGGUGAAAUGCGUAGAGAUGCGGAGGAACACCGAUGGCGAAGGCAGCCCCCUGGGCUAACACUGACGCUGAGGCACGAAAGCGUGGGGAGCAAACAGG
rnacentral:rRNA from 1 species